rnacentral:rRNA from 1 species
GCAGCCGCGGUAAUACGGAGGGGGCAAGCGUUGUUCGGAAUUAUUGGGCGUAAAGGGCAUGUAGGCGGUUUGGUAAGUUAGAGGUGAAAUACCAGGGCUUAACCCUGGGGCUGCUUUUAAUACUGCAGGACUAGAGUCCGGAAGAGGAUAGCGGAAUUCCUAGUGUAGAGGUGAAAUUCGUAGAUAUUAGGAGGAACACCAGUGGCGAAGGCGGCUGUCUGGUCCGGUACUGACGCUGAGGUGCGAAAGCGUGGGGAGCAAACAG